rnacentral:rRNA from 1 species
CCUACGGGGUGCAGCAGUGGGGAAUAUUGGGCAAUGGGCGCAAGCCUGACCCAGCAACGCCGCGUGAAGGAAGAAGGCUUUCGGGUUGUAAACUUCUUUUGUCAGGGAAGAGUAGAAGACGGUACCUGACGAAUAAGCCACGGCUAACUACGUGCCAGCAGCCGCGGUAAUACGUAGGUGGCAAGCGUUGUCCGGAUUGACUGGGUGUAAAGGGCGUGUAGCCGGGUUGACAAGUCAGAUGUGAAAUCCUGCGGCUUAACCGCAGAACUGCAUUUGAAACUGUUGAUCUUGAGUACUGGAGAGGCAGAUGGAAUUCCUAGUGUAGCGGUGAAAUGCGUAGAUAUUAGGAGGAACACCAGUGGUGAAGGCGGUCUGCUGGACAGCAACUGACGGUGAGGCGCGAAAGCGUGGGGAGCAAACAGGAUUAGAUACCCCUGUAGUC